rnacentral:sRNA from 1 species
AUGUACCACUCGUACACUCCGGUUCCUGUGCGCCGCCCGCACCCGCCUGACGACUGCUCGCUGCCGUAGCGACGCGCUAGCG